AGUCGAGGAUCUUCGGCAAUGGGCGCAAGCCUGACCGAGCGACGCCGCGUGUGCGAUGAAGGCCUUCGGGUUGUAAAGCACUGUCGGGGGGGAGAAAGGGCAACUUGAUCGACCCCCGGAGGAAGCACGGGCUAAGUUCGUGCCAGCAGCCGCGGUAAGACGAACCGUGCGAACGUUGUUCGGAAUCACUGGGCUUAAAGGGCGCGUAGGCGGGCCGUCAAGUCGGGGGUGAAAGCCUGCAGCUCAACUGCAGAAGUGCCUCCGAUACUGACGGCCUCGAGGGAGGUAGGGGCGUGCGGAACUUCCGGUGGAGCGGUGAAAUGCGUAGAUAUCGGAAGGAACGCCGGUGGCGAAAGCGGCGCGCUGGACCUCUUCUGACGCUGAGGCGCGAAAGCCAGGGGAGCAAA
rnacentral:rRNA from 1 species